UAUUUUGUUGGGUUUUUGCUUUGUUUCUUGCAUGAAAAUGUAAGUUCUUUUUCCCCAUUUUCUUUUUUUGGGCCAAGGAGGGUGAGUGAUGUGGGGGGCAGAGGGGCCAGUGGGGGGUUCUUUUGUUUAAUUCUUUCCAAAUUAAUGUGAAGAUAAUGUUUGAUAGAAUCUUAUUGGUAAGAAAAAGUGUGUGAAUCACAUUCAGCAGAGUGGGAGAAAAGGUGAAGAAAUUUAAGAGAGAAUUUUGAAGGAUGAAUGAUAGCUCAGCUAGAGAAAUUAAUGAUAGUUUAGCCGCUAUUACUGAAAGACAACCUUAAAGGCCUUUUGGUUGUGUGGGCAUUUUCUUUCAGCUCUUUGAUCGGAAUCGUAGAUUUGCCAAGAAGCUGUUUCCAAAGAAACUGUUUUCCCAAGCUUGCUUUAAACAAGCUUCAAAAAAGUUUGUAGGGGAUCAGAAGAAACCAAAGCUUCGUUUGAUUGCUAAUGAGAACAAUGGGGGUUUUCCAAAUGCAAAGAAUAAUGGAAUGAUCGAUACAUGUUUUGAAAGAAAGCGCGGAAUGAAAGAUCCAAGUUUGGUUGCUAGGCUCAUGGGUUUGGAAUCGAUGCCAGCAGGAUCAGGCAGUAAGCCCCAAAAGGCUUCAGCUUCUGAAACAUGGAGAAAUGUGGCAGACAAACUUGGUUCUCGACCUGGCGGAUCUGAUAAAGAAGAUAUGGAUUUUGAGAUGGCCGAAAUAAGGAGUUCAGAACCAGGUUUGCAAUGGUUUAGAUCUAAAUGUGCUCUCACUUAUCCUACUAGAUAUUUUUCUCCUUUGGAAGAUGAAGCAGAUUUAGUUGUGAAUUCACUUGAUCACCAUUCAACUGACAGCUACCUCUCCAGCAGUCCCAAUAGUAGCUCAAGUAUGGUCCCCGAUUCGACCUUUUACUAUUUGCAUACUUCCUUUCUUUCCCUCAAAUACAUAAAUUAAAA